rnacentral:rRNA from 1 species
AGCUUUCCAUGGCGCCUGUUUAUCAAAAACAUGGUUUUUUGAAAUUAUAAAAAAUUUGAUCUGCUCAAUGCUAGAAAGUAAAUAGCCGCAGUAUUUUGACUGUGCUAAGGUAGCAUAAUCAUUUGCCUUUUUAUUGAAGGCUAGGAUGAAUGGUUAGACGAGAUAAAUUCUGUCUCCAAAGAAAACUAAUUGAAUUUGAUUAUUUGGUAAAAAGGCCAUUAUUUAUCUAAGGGACGAUAAGACCCUACUAAGCUUAAUUUUAGAAUUUUACUGGGGUGGUAAUUUAAGAAUAGAAUCUUAAUAUUAGUGACUUAAAUAUAAGGCCCAAUAUUAUUGAGUGAUAGAUAAAGCUACUAUAGGGAUAACAGCUUAAUUUUUUUAAAAAGUUCUUAUUUUAAAAAGUGUUUGUGACCUCGAUGUUGAAUUAAAGGUUCUUUUUGGUGAAGGAGCUAAGAAAGAUAGUCUGUUCGACUUUUAAAUUUUUACGUGAUCUGAGUUCAGACCGGCCAUGGGAAGCUC